CCUACUGGAGGCAGCAGUGGGGAAUAUUGGGCAAUGGACGCAAGUCUGACCCAGCAACGCCGCGUGAAGGAAGAAGGCUUUCGGGUUGUAAACCUCUUUUGCCGGGGAGCAAGCGUGCGUUCGUGAACGCGCGUCGAGAGUACCCGGAGAAAAAGCAUCGGCUAACUCCGUGCCAGCAGCCGCGGUAAUACGGAGGAUGCGAGCGUUAUCCGGAUUUAUUGGGUUUAAAGGGUGCGUAGGCGGGAUGCCAAGUCAGCGGUAAAAAUGCGGUGCUCAACGCCGUCGAGCCGUUGAAACUGGCGUGCUGGAGUGGGCGAGAAGUAUGCGGAAUGCGUGGUGUAGCGGUGAAAUGCAUAGAUAUCACGCAGAACUCCGAUUGCGAAGGCAGCAUACCGGCGCCCUACUGACGCUGAGGCACGAAAGCGUGGGUAUCGAACAGGAUUAGAUACCCUUGUAGUC
rnacentral:rRNA from 1 species